AAAUGGAACAUCACCAAGCUCAUAAAAUAUUUUCCAUAAACGCUUCAUUCAAACUAUAUGCGGUUUGAUUCCCUUCCCGAGAUAUGUAGGCAGUCCGCUUCGGACACAAUCACAACGCUGCCGUCUGCACGAAACCAAGUCCAUGGAGAACUCAUCUCCUUACACCCCACCAUAGGCUUAUUGUCAAAAGUGGUCCUUGUUGUAUUUCUUACUUCAUAUAAUCUUUUUGCUUAGAACAAGGCCAGUUUCUCCAUCCCGAAGAUAUGUAGGCAAUCCUUUCUGAAUUCAAUCACACUCUUUUGUUAAUCACCCCUGUUUUGAUUAUGAAUAAAGGAGUUCAUAUUUUAAUGUUUGUUCCAUCUUUUCUUUUUGGUGGAGCAGGGAACACCUUACUCAUCCCAGACAAAGCACAAACAUUGAAAAUUUCACAUGAAGGCAAGUCUAAAAAAUUUCAGACACCCGAUUCACAAAGUACCUACUUUCACAGACACCCGAUUGCCUUUUGCUCCAAAACAGCAGCACCCGAAACGCCAACACCACCGACCUCUCCUUGGUCGACCUCGACAAACCCUCAGGCAAGAACGACGUCGUAAUCAAGCUUCCCAAAGACCCCAAUGUCCCGAAUUUCGGUGUGCAAAUUGUGGGUUCCUGCAAUGGCUUCCUCUGCGUAUACGAUAGGCUUAACAGCUGCCGGUUUUACAUCUCCAAUCCCGUUAUUGGUGAGUCCAUAACUCUUCCAAGAUUUCCCAAGGACAUUGGUUUUCCAUUUCUUUAUGGGUUUGGGUUUUGUCCUGUCGAUGGUGACUAUAAAUUAGUUGUGGUUUCAUCUACGAGUAACGGACUGAAAUCGAAUGAAUGGGAGGUAAUGGUUUUGACUGUUGGCACUGGAAGUUGGAGAAAUGUUGGGAAUUCCGUAUACCCUUUUGGGAACCAAUGGUAUGGGGUUUAUCAUGAUGGUUUUCUUCAUUGGAUUGCUCGUGGCGACAAUUCUGUAUUGAUGCCUUUGAUGUUGAAAGUGAGUGUUUCCAAGAGUUGCCAUUACCGCCUUGUUCUUUGGGAAAGCGUCUUGUUAACCUUGCAGUCCUGAGAGGCUGCCUCUCUGUAUACGUUAUCUCGUUGGGAAGUAUCAAUGUUUGGGUGAUGAAAGAUUAUGGCAUUAAGGAAUCGUGGGCCGGAGAGCUUGUCAUGCAGCAAGUGAUUGGGUACAGAACUAGUUUUUCUGCUACUCAAUUGUUGAAAGAAGGGCCAAGUGGUGUUUUUACUUAAGUAUAAACUGAGGGUUUAUACUCAUGGAAAAAGGGGCUCUGCUGCGGUUGAAGUUGAUGGAAUACCAUAAAUGGUUGAAGCAUUUGUCCAUAUUCCAAGCUUUGUUUCUCUUAAGGAUGCCAUCAUGGAUUGGAGCUCAGAGAUGGUGCACGUUAGGCUCCUGGUAGAUUCCAUUCCCUGAUGCCUGAUGGGCUUUCUUUGAAGUACUUUAGUCACUGUGGCACAUAAAUGUAGGUAGUUUACUCAAAUCCAACCUUUAACUCUGUUGAGAGCUCAUGGUUUGCUGAAUAUUUUCUCGUACAGUACAUCCAUAGGCUUUGUGCGAAAGCUACAGCAUUUUCAUGCAAGGUCUUGCUGCAUAAGGGCACUAAUGAUAUGGGAAGCCAUUUGAAUUGGCGUGGUUUUGGAAGAAAAUAUGAUAAACUGAGAAGAAAACAUGGUGUAAUAUAUGGUAUAUUGUUAAGAAAUUAUAAAUAAAAUGAGGAAAAGUAAUUCCCUAGCUUACCUCUGUUGAUUGCUUUAUCCAUAGUGAUCUUUGAUUGAAAUUUGCCUGUCUGUUAUUUCGUAUUGUUUUACAGAAAUAGAUGAGACGGUGUUUGGAAGUUAUGGAUUAGCUCACAGAUGAUGAAAAGUUGAAAACAGAUUAUAUUGGUGAAGAAGAUAUAUCCUCUUGAGAAGAAAGACUCUCAGAACGUUCAUGCUUCAAGAUUAGAAACGCUGUUCGAUUUGGUUCAUGGUUGCAUUAGGUCUUUAACCGUGACGUUAUGGUUAGGAUUCGAGUUCUAAACUAGGGGAGUUUGUUAAGUUGGUAAUACCAAUCUGUAAUCUAUGUCAUCUGCAUAUAUGUUCAAUUUUUCAAGAGGACUCAAACUGUGUUUUGCUGCAUGCAUUCGGAAUCAUAAUUUGAGGCUCCCGCUUUAUGAAUUGUUUUAACUUUUGUUUUAA